UGGGGAAUUUUGGACAAUGGGGGCAACCCUGAUCCAGCAAUGCCGCGUGUGUGAAGAAGGCCUUCGGGUUGUAAAGCACUUUUGUCCGGAAAGAAAAUGCCCUGGCUAAUAUCCGGGGUAGAUGACGGUACCGGAAGAAUAAGCACCGGCUAACUACGUGCCAGCAGCCGCGGUAAUACGUAGGGUGCGAGCGUUAAUCGGAAUUACUGGGCGUAAAGCGUGCGCAGGCGGUUUUGUAAGACAGGCGUGAAAUCCCCGGGCUUAACCUGGGAAUUGCGCUUGUGACUGCAAGGCUAGAGUGCGUCAGAGGGGGGUAGAAUUCCACGUGUAGCAGUGAAAUGCGUAGAGAUGUGGAGGAAUACCGAUGGCGAAGGCAGCCCCCUGGGACGUGACUGACGCU
rnacentral:rRNA from 1 species